rnacentral:rRNA from 1 species
CUAUCGACAGGCUUAACACAUGCAAGUCGAGGGGCAGCACAGGUAGCAAUACCGGGUGGCGACCGGCGCACGGGUGAGUAACGCGUAUGCAACUUGCCUAUCAGAGGGGGAUAACCCGGCGAAAGUCGGACUAAUACCGCAUGAAGCAGGGGCCCCGCAUGGGGAUAUUUGCUAAAGAUUCAUCGCUGAUAGAUAGGCAUGCGUUCCAUUAGGCAGUUGGCGGGGUAACGGCCCACCAAACCGACGAUGGAUAGGGGUUCUGAGAGGAAGGUCCCCCACAUUGGUACUGAGACACGGACCAAACUCCUACGGGAGGCAGCAGUGAGGAAUAUUGGUCAAUGGGCGUAAGCCUGAACCAGCCAAGUCGCGUGAGGGAUGAAGGUUCUAUGGAUCGUAAACCUCUUUUAUAAGGGAAUAAAGUGCGGGACGUGUCCCGUUUUGUAUGUACCUUAUGAAUAAGGAUCGGCUAACUCCGUGCCAGCAGCCGCGGUAAUACGGAGGAUCCGAGCGUUAUCCGGAUUUAUUGGGUUUAAAGGGUGCGUAGGCGGCCUUUUAAGUCAGCGGUGAAAGUCUGUGGCUCAACCAUAGAAUUGCCGUUGAAACUGGGGGGCUUGAGUAUGUUUGAGGCAGGCGGAAUGCGUGGUGUAGCGGUGAAAUGCAUAGAUAUCACGCAGAACCCCGAUUGCGAAGGCAGCCUGCCAAGCCAUUACUGACGCUGAUGCACGAAAGCGUGGGGAUCAAACAGGAUUAGAUACCCUGGUAGUCCACGCAGUAAACGAUGAUCACUAGCUGUUUGCGAUACACUGUAAGCGGCACAGCGAAAGCGUUAAGUGAUCCACCUGGGGAGUACGCCGGCAACGGUGAAACUCAAAGGAAUUGACGGGGGCCCGCACAAGCGGAGGAACAUGUGGUUUAAUUCGAUGAUACGCGAGGAACCUUACCCGGGUUUGAACGCAUUCGGACCGAGGUGGAAACACCUUUUCUAGCAAUAGCCGUUUGCGAGGUGCUGCAUGGUUGUCGUCAGCUCGUGCCGUGAGGUGUCGGCUUAAGUGCCAUAACGAGCGCAACCCUUGCCACUAGUUACUAACAGGUAAAGCUGAGGACUCUGGUGGGACUGCCAGCGUAAGCUGCGAGGAAGGCGGGGAUGACGUCAAAUCAGCACGGCCCUUACAUCCGGGGCGACACACGUGUUACAAUGGCGUGGACAAAGGGAAGCCACCUGGCGACAGGGAGCGAAUCCCCAAACCACGUCUCAGUUCGGAUCGGAGUCUGCAACCCGACUCCGUGAAGCUGGAUUCGCUAGUAAUCGCGCAUCAGCCAUGGCGCGGUGAAUACGUUCCCGGGCCUUGUACACACCGCCCGUCAAGCCAUGGGAGCCGGGGGUACCUGAAGUCCGUAACCGCGAGGAUCGGCCUAGGGUAAAACUGGUAAUUGGGG